rnacentral:lncRNA from 1 species
CAAGAGGUCAAGAUGAAAGGGGCGUGGCUAAGCAGAACGGAGGUUGAAACUUACUUUAGGUGUAACCACGUGGCCGGUAAACAAUCAGCUUCUCCAGGGAGGCCGAGGUUACUUUCCGACUCACACUUAGGAGGCCUUAGGAUGAAUCUCAACUCCUCAUGCCGUACUUCAUUACUAACGAGAGCCUUGGGCGCAGGAAUUUAUCGUUUACAACCCUAAUACAGUAGUCUACUUUCAGACUAACACCUAUCCCACAAGAGUUGGAUUUUCCAGUAUUGUAGCAAAACUGACGAAUUUGAUCCUACUUAUUUAAAAACAGCUCACCAUCUUCCAGGCUACCAAAUGAAGACUAAAUUAAUUUCCUCUCAAGGGUGAAACCC